rnacentral:rRNA from 1 species
CUCAAAGGAAUUGACGGGGACCCGCACAAGCGGUGGAUGAUGUGGAUUAAUUCGAUGCAACGCGAAGAACCUUACCUGGUCUUGACAUGUACGGAACCCUCCAGAGACGGAGGAGNGCCUUCGGGAGCCGUAACACAGGUGCUGCAUGGCNGUCGUCAGCUCGUGUCGUGAGAUGUUGGGUUAAGUCCCGCAACGAGCGCAACCCUUGUCAUUAGUUGCCAUCANUAAGUUGGGCACUNUAAUGAGACUGCCGGUGACAAGCCGGAGGAAGGUGGGGAUGACGUCAAGUCCUCAUGGCCCUUAUGACCAGGGCUUCACACGUCAUACAAUGGUCGGUACAGAGGGUAGCCAAGCCGCGAGGCGGAGCCAAUCUCACAAAACCGAUCGUAGUCCGGAUUGCACUCUGCAACUCGAGUGCAUGAAGUCGGAAU